CACGGCCUAUCAGCUUGUUGGUGAGGUAAUGGCUCACCAAGGCGACGACGGGUAGCCGGCCUGAGAGGGUGACCGGCCACACUGGGACUGAGACACGGCCCAGACUCCUACGGGAGGCAGCAGUGGGGAAUAUUGCACAAUGGGCGCAAGCCUGAUGCAGCAACGCCGCGUGGGGGACGAAGGCCUUCGGGUUGUAAACCCCUUUUAGCAGGGAAGAAGCGCAAGUGACGGUACCUGCAGAAAAAGCACCGGCUAACUACGUGCCAGCAGCCGCGGUAAUACGUAGGGUGCAAGCGUUGUCCGGAAUUAUUGGGCGUAAAGAGCUCGUAGGCGGUGUGUCGCGUCUGCUGUGAAAAUCCAAGGCUCAACCUUGGACCUGCAGUGGGUACGGGCACACUAGAGUGCGGUAGGGGAGAUUGGAAUUCCUGGUGUAGCGGUGGAAUGCGCAGAUAUCAGGAGGAACACCAAUGGCGAAGGCAGAUCUCUGGGCCGUAACUGACGCUGAGGAGCGAAAGCGUGGGGAGCGAACAGGAUUAGAUACCCUGGUAGUCCACGCCGUAAACGGUGGGAACUAGAUGUGGGGUCCGUUCCACGGAUUCCGUGUCGCAGCUAACGCAUUAAGUUCCCCGCCUGGGGAGUACGG
rnacentral:rRNA from 1 species